CCUACGGGUGGCUGCAGUGGGGAAUAUUGCGCAAUGGGCGAAAGCCUGACGCAGCGACGCCGCGUGAGGGAUGAAGGUCUUCGGAUCGUAAACCUCUGUCAGCAGGGCAGAACGGUCACUGUGCUAAUCAUCAGUGAAUUGACGGUACCUGCAAAGGACGCACCGGCUAACUCCGGGCCAGCAGCCGCGGUAAUACGGAGGGUGCGAGCGUUAAUCUGAAGUACUGGGCGUAAAGCUCUCGUAGGCGGUAUGUCAAGUCAAGGGUGAAAUCCCCGCGCAUAACGUGGGAACUGCCUUUGAAACUGGCAAACUGGAGUGUGCGAGAGGAUAGUGGAAU
rnacentral:rRNA from 1 species